rnacentral:rRNA from 1 species
CACGUGGGCGGCCUGGUAAGUCAGAUGUGAAAGCCCGGGGCUUAACCCCGGAAGUGCAUUUGAUACUGUCAGGCUUGAGUAUGGGAGAGGGAAGUGGAAUUCCUGGUGUAGAGGUGAAAUUCGUAGAUAUCAGGAGGAACACCGGUGGCGAAGGCGACUUCCUGGACCAAUACUGACGCUGAGGUGCGAAGGCGUGGGUAGCAAACAGGAUUAGAUACCCUGGUAGUC